rnacentral:rRNA from 1 species
GGCGAACGCUGGCGGCGUGCCUAAUACAUGCAAGUAGAACGCUGAAGGAGGAGCUUGCUUCUCCGGAUGAGUUGCGAACGGGUGAGUAACGCGUAGGUAACCUGCCUGGUAGCGGGGGAUAACUAUUGGAAACGAUAGCUAAUACCGCAUAAGAGUAGAUGUCGCAUGACAUUUGCUUAAAAGGUGCAACUGCACCACUACCAGAUGGACCUGCGUUGUAUUAGCUAGUUGGUGAGGUAACGGCUCACCAAGGCAACGAUACAUAGCCGACCUGAGAGGGUGAUCGGCCACACUGGGACUGAGACACGGCCCAGACCCCUACGGGAGGCAGCAGUAGGGAAUCUUCGGCAAUGGACGGAAGUCUGACCGAGCAACGCCGCGUGAGUGAAGAAGGUUUUCGGAUCGUAAAGCUCUGUUGUAAGAGAAGAACGAGUGUGAGAGUGGAAAGUUCACACUGUGACGGUAUCUUACCAGAAAGGGACGGCUAACUACGUG